rnacentral:rRNA from 1 species
GCUUACGGCGAUACCACCCUGAGCACGCCUGAUCUCGUAUGAUCUCGGAAGCUAAGCAGGGUCGGGCCUGGUUAGUACUUGGAAGGGAGGACUGCCUGGGAAUACAAGGUGUUGUAAGCU